GAUUACGUAUUGUCCGGUGUAGACAAUAAACCAGUGCAAACUGCCAGAAGCAGGUAUUUCUUAUGUUGAAAUGUUGGCAUUCUCUAUGUGCCUUAAACGGGAUAUGACAGUACAUGCUCUCCAUAACGCAUUUACUACCUAGUGUCAUUGCGCUUGCAGAGCAAGUACGCUGGAGAAGUAAACACACAUGUUCUCUAAUUUUCUUUUACAUACGUGCCAAUUAACCGUUGUUUGUGAAUUAUCCCAAGUAAUAUUUUAGUUUCUCGGACAAAUGUCUAUAGAAAAGAAAAAAUACGAAUGCAAUGCUCUGCCUAAAGGAUGGCAGAGAGAAGAAGUUAUUAGAAAAUCUGGCCUUUCCGCAGGAAAAGUAGAUGUGUAUUAUUAUAGCCCAAAUGGGAAGAAGUUUCGCAGCAAGCCUCAGCUCGCUCGUUACCUGGGAGAUGCACUUGAUCUCGCCACAUUCGAUUUCCGUUCAGGCAAAAUCAAUUCACUGCUCCUGCGAAAAAACAAGAAGCAGAGAGGGACUCAAUUUGAUUACAGUCGUGGAGUAAGAAAUGAUGCAUCACUUGUACCACCAAUUCGCCAGACAGCUUCCAUCUUUAAACAGCCUGUUACUGUUUAUAAGACCCAAGAAGGGAAGGUAAAAACUGAUUUCAAACAUGGUCCUCAGGAGAAACCAAAACAGCUAUUCUGGGAGAAGAGACUAGAAGGUCUACGAGCAUGUGAUUUAGAUGGUUUAGAAUUUAAUGAAAUGGAAUUGCCCCGAGCACUACGUGCAGUGGGACCCCAUGUGGGCGAAGAGACCCUACUACAGUCUGUGGCUACAGCUCUUCAUGUGUCUACACAGCCUGUGACAGGGCAGACAGGUUCAAGAUCUGCUCUGGAAAAGAAUCCAGGUGUCUUUCUAAAUCCUGAUCAACCUUUAGUGCAGUUCCUGUAAUGGUGCUGGUUAUGGGGGCUGAAACAACUGGUCAUUUGUAAAACUCCAUAAGAAGAAAUCCAGGGGGGUCAGAUCUGGGGAUCAUGGAGGCCAAGAAAUUGGACCUGUCGGUGUCCCAUCCAUUGUCCAGGAAUGGUCUCAUUAUGAAAAUUGUGAACAUUGUGCAGUAUCUGUGGCAGAUGAAGACAUCAAAAGACAGGAAGAGAGAGUUGCAGUAGCACGGAAGAAACUUCAAGAUGCAUUGAAGAGGGUAGUGACCUAGUGUAUGCUCACGUGCAGUGUUUUAAUUAUUGGACUAGGCUAAUAAAGCCAGCCAGCUCUGGUAUAUUCUCAGUACAUUUGUUUCCAUUCUUAAUAUAGAGAAUGUCCAAAAGACUAGUUUUUCUGUGAAAAUAAAACAUACAAAAUAGUGCAUGUUUGACAUUCCUAUUAUGCGGGAAAGAACUGUGGAAUUUUGAUAUAAAUUUCGUGUUCAUGAAAAUUAUUUGGUGACUGCAUCCCUGUAGGAAUAAAAUUAAAACUGGCCUCAUUGUUAGUGGAAAUUAGAAAGUGAUUAUGUGUACUUCUUUCUGCUUCACAUACUGUAAUAAUACUCUGUUACAUUACCUGUAACCAAUACUUUUUGUAAAGUACAAUAUGAGUAUAUCACAAAAACAAGUCACCAACUUUAAGAUAAUCUACUAAAAUUGUAUACUCCUGAGAAUAAAACAUUUGUUGCAAAGAA